CCAGCAGCCGCGGUAAUACGGGGGGGGCAAGUGUUAUUCGCAAUGACUGGGCGUAAAGCGUACGUAGGCGGCUUGCAAUUAGGCCUCUUGCGAAAGGCUAGGGCUUAACCUUAGUGUGACUUUUGGCACAGCAAGCUAGAGUUUGGUAGGGGUUGGUAGAAUUCUCAGAAGAGGGGUACAAUCCAGGGACACUGAGACGAAUACCUAGGGCGAAGGCAGCCAACUGGACCAUACUGACGCUAAAGUACGGAAGCGUAGGUAGCAAAUAGGAUUAGAUACCCUAGUAGUCUACGCCGUCAACGAUGGGUAUUGGCAAUUUAAUUGCUAAGCUAACGCGUUAAAUACCCCGCCUGGGGAGUACGGUCGCAAG
rnacentral:rRNA from 11 species